AAAAAAGGGGAUUAUCUGAAAAGAGAGAAAAAUAUCUGGAAAAGAGAAAAAGAAAAGAAAAGAGAGAACAGAUUUUAGAAGAAAAAGAAAAAGACUGAAAAAGAAAAAAAACUGGAAAGAAAAGAUCUGAAAAAAGGUAGGACAGACUUUAGAAAAAUCAGACAGGGAUUAGAAAAUUAAGGCUGGACAGUUAAGUGGAGAGUUGGAUAGCUUUGAGUGUUGAGAGAUAAAAAGAAAAUCAAAAGACAAGGCUGGAUUUUCAGGCCCUGAAUAGGCUAGCUUAAUUUCUGUUCAAUAGAGGUUUAAGAGAGACUUGGGAUUUCUGAACACAAAAUAUCAUAAGCAUGUUUCUUCCUGCAUCUGUUUUCUUCCUCUGAUUAUCCGGUUAUUUGUUGGGACACCAGCUGAGUUUUCAAUUUGGUCUUCUGAGUUCACUGGAUUUCUGUUUGGUUUAAAUCUGUUGGCUGGUUUCUCUACUGGUCAUUAUUGGAAUUUCUUGCUUGGUUUUAUUUGGUUUCAAACAUUUGUUUGGCUGGGUUGUUUGCUGUUGAGUGUUGCUUCUUUUGUUGCUGCUGUUGCUGUUGUACUGCUGCUGAUUAUUCUUCUUUCUUUUCGUUUUUUUAUCCAAACCAGGUAUUUAUCACCAUCUUGAGCGAUGUAUUGAUGUCAAAUUGAAUGAAGCCUGAUUGAGAGAGAACUUGAAGUGCAAAUGUUUACUACUGCUUUAGUUUCCCGUAUAGUUAGUGUCUGUUUGUAUUUAAGGCGGACUUUAGGACUGUGUAUCCUAAUGGAUUAAUGUUAGUCAUUCUUCUUGGUGUAAUGUAGCUGUAAUAAUUUAAUCAACUCUACCAACACGCUAAUUCCUCUAAGCAGUAUAUAGGCUAGUAUUUGAAUCCAGUUUGAUAAUAUCUGCUAGUAGUUAAUCUCGGUAGCCCCACUCAUCUAAAAACUCUUAUUUUAAACCAAUAAGAGAAUGGUUAGUUUUGUUCUAAUAUUUUUACAAACUUGCAAGAAC
rnacentral:lncRNA from 1 species